UACGUAGGGGGCAAGCGUUAUCCGGAUUUACUGGGUGUAAAGGGAGCGUAGACGGCACGGCAAGCCAGAUGUGAAAGUCCGGGGCUCAACCCCGGGACUGCAUUUGGAACUGCUGAGCUAGAGUGUCGGAGAGGCAAGUGGAAUUCCUAGUGUAGCGGUGAAAUGCGUAGAUAUUAGGAGGAACACCAGUGGCGAAGGCGGCUUGCUGGACGAUGACUGACGUUGAGGCUCGAAAGCGUGGGGAGCAAACAGG
rnacentral:rRNA from 1 species